UUUCAUGAUGUUAUAAUUUGCGAUUGAAUUCGGCGCUGGAGACUCUCGCCGGAGUCUCUCAACAGCGGUGAAGAUAUGAUAUUUAACUUCUUACAUAUGCUGAAU
rnacentral:snoRNA from 1 species